rnacentral:rRNA from 1 species
GACGUAGGGCGCGAGCGUUGUCCGGAUUUAUUGGGCGUAAAGAGCUCGUAGGCGGCUUGUCGCGUCGUCCGUGAAAACCUGCGGCUCAACUGCAGGCUGGCGGUCGAUACGGGCAGGCUGGAGUUCGGUAGGGGGAGACUGGAAUUCCCCGGUGUAGCGGUGAAAUGCGUAGAGAUCGGGAGGAACACCAGUGGCGAAGGCGGCCUUCUGGACCAGCACUGACACUCAAGCACGAAAGCGUGGGAGGCAAACAGG